CGCGUAGGCGGCUUGGUAAGUCAGGCGUGAAAGCCCUCGGCUCAACCGGGGAACUGCGUUUGAUACUGCCAGGCUUGAGUACCGGAGGGGGUGGCGGAAUUCCGGGUGUAGGAGUGAAAUCCGUAGAUAUCCGGAGGAACACCGGUGGCGAAGGCGGCCACCUGGACGGUAACUGACGCUGAGGCGCGAAAGCGUGGGGAGCAAACAGGAUUAGAUACCCUGGUAGUCCACGCGGUAAACGAUGGAUGCUAGGUGUCGGGGGGCGACUUCCGGCGCCGGAGCCAACGCAUUAAGCAUCCCGCCUGGGGAGUACGGUCGCAAGGCUGAA
rnacentral:rRNA from 1 species